UGAAUCACGUGGGCGUUAGUGGGCCGGAUAACGAGUAACCCUACGCCCAUCACCCAGGCGCCUGUCCUACGCCGCCCACGCUCAUGACCGCCCUGCGCCGCCCCCGCUCAUGAUCGCUCUGUAUCGCCCCCUUCACAUGAUCGCCCUGCGCCGUCCCUCACCCUCCACGCAUGCCCACAUCUCGCCCGGUGUGCCGCCCCCCGACUCGACCGACGUGCGCUGCCGCCUAUGCGCAUGCCCAGUUCUUGCCAGUUGUAACUACCGACUCCUUCCCUCGCACAACCACCUGUCCGUGCCCACAACCUGCCACUGGCCGCCCGCGAGGAGUCCCCAGAGGUGUCCCCGUUCAGGACGUCAGUCGCCCAUGCCUAGUCGUCCAUCGCCAAAGACGUGAGGUUGUUUCUUGCACUUUCUUAUUUACUAAUGUUGAUAGUAAUUAUAACAUAAUAUUUAAUGUAACUUUAAAAAAUUGCAUGCAGUAUGGACAUCAAUGGUGUGAUCACAU
rnacentral:lncRNA from 1 species